rnacentral:rRNA from 1 species
GUCCACGCCGUAAACGAUGGACACUAGGCGUCGGGGGGAGCGACCCUCCCGGUGCCGUCGCUAACGCAGUAAGUGUCCCGCCUGGGGAGUACGGCCGCAAGGCUGAAACUCAAAGGAAUUGACGGGGGCCCGCACAAGCGGUGGAGCAUGUGGUUUAAUUCGAAGCAACGCGAAGAACCUUACCUGGGCUUGACAUGCUGGUGUAAGCCGGUGGAAACAUCGGCCCCCUCUUCGGAGCGCCAGCACAGGUGCUGCAUGGCUGUCGU